rnacentral:RNase_P_RNA from 15 species
GCGGAUGGCUGGAUGACUGCGGCAGCAAUGUCGAGGAAAGUCCGGACUCCAAAAAGCACGGUGCCGGGUAACGCCCGGCGGGGGUAACCCCAGGGAAAGCGCCACAGAGAACAGACUACCUGAUUUCGAUCAGGAAAAGGUGAAACGGUGGGGUAAGAGCCCACCGCGCAAGCGGCAACGCAAGCGGCACGGCAAGCCCCACCGGGAGCAAUGCCAAAUAGGGACCUCGCGUCGCAAGACGGGGAUGCUUGAACCCCAGAUGGUCCGGGUUGGCAGCUAGAGGGCGUCUGGCAACAGGCGCCCCAGAUGAAUGGUCAUCCAUUUGUGGGCAACCACAAAGGACAGAAUCCGGCUUAUAGGCCAUCCGCGCAU